rnacentral:rRNA from 1 species
UACGGAAGGCAGCAGUGGGGAAUAUUGCACAAUGGGCGAAAGCCUGAUGCAGCUAUGCCGCGUGUAUGAAGAAGGCCUUAGGGUUGUAAAGUACUUUCAUCGGGGAGGAAAAAACAAAACUAAUAAUUUUAUUUCUUGACGUUACCCGAAAAAGAAGCACCGGCUAACUCCGUGCCAGCAGCCGCGGUAAUACGGAGGGUGCUAGCGUUAAUCAGAAUUACUGGGCGUAAAGAGCACGUAGGUGGUUUUUUUAAAGUCAGAUGUGAAAUCCCUGGGCUUAACCUAGGAACUGCAUUUUGAAACUGAAAUACUAGAGUAUCGUAGAGGGAGGUAGAAUUCUAGGUGUAGCGGUGAAAUGCGUAGAUAUCUGGAGGAAUACCUGUGGCGAAAGCGGCCUCCUAAACGAAUACUGACACUGAGGGUGCGAAAGCGUGGGGAGCAAACAGGGAUUUAGAUACCCGU